UCAUUGCAUUCCAUUGAGAUGAUAGUUGUUUGAAGUAUUCUUAGAGCUCCGAAUUUUGAGUAGCCUCGGGAGAAUAUUUUGUACGCAUUUUAAUUAAAGCAUUACAUUCAAUCAUUGUGCGAUUGGACCAAAUUAAUUUGAAGUGAUUCAUUGUCCUUUGUCUAUGCUUCCAUAGUUAUAGAGCAUUUCCUCAAACUUUGAUGGAAGUUUAACAUUGUUUCAAGGCUCUUCUUUUGGCAUGGGAGGAAGGAUGCUUAGCAAUAGUUGUGAAGCUUGGAGUUUUGUUGCAUUUGUACUAACUUCCUUUUAAAAUGCUAAAAAAUAAAAAAAUAGGAAGUUAGAAAUAGGGAGCGCCCAAGCAUCAAAGAGGCUAGGAAGUUAGAUUUUGGAGCAACCAAGCAAUCAAGAUGUUUGGAAAUUAGAUUUUGGGAGCAACCAAGCAAUAAAGAGGUUAGGAAGUUAAAAUUUGGGAGCAGCCAAGCAAUAAAGAGGUCAGGAAUUUAGAUUUUGGGAGCAAACAAGCAAUAAAGAGGUUAGGAAGUUAGAAUUUGGGAGCAAUCAAUUAAUAAAGGAGAAAGUGCAUGAUUAAGGUUGAAUCCUAACUUGGUAUGGCUCACAAAAUCAUUAAAUUUCUUGGGGAAAACAUUCAUUUUUAGAAAAGAUAUGCCUUUGAAAGGAUUUCAAUUAUUUUAGCACGUUCGCUAACAAACUUCCUAAUAAGCCUCUGAAGUUGCAAAAGAGAAAAUAUGCAUAACUUUUAACUAGAAAAACAUCUCAUCAUGAGAUUUUGGUAGGCUGACAAAGAUUCCAUUACAAACAAAACAUAGAAAAAUAAUUUCAUUUCAAGUAAAUUAAACCUUAAAUUUAAUAGUUUUUAUGUUUUUCUCAAUAAAAAUUGGAACUUUAAUAUCUUGAAAUGUGGGAGGUGGGUUGAUGUGAAAACUGGUUGCAUUUGUCAUAAUACUAUCAAGAACAUAUCUAUAAACCAAUUUUUCCCCAAAAAAUCAUAUUUUUUUACAUUUAAUCAUAUUUCCAUUUUAUGCCAAUACACAUGAUUGAUUUUGAGUACAAAUGCGAUGAUAUGUAUGAUAUUUUCAUUAUGACACUUAUAUAGGUUAUCAAAUCACCAAUUUAGUGUAACUAAAUGGACUUGGGUGUUUUAGGGUGAAUUUGACAAAUUAUGAAGAUGGGAACCAACUCAACCGACUCAUGAUAAGGUUGUUGGAUGACAACUUUUGACCAUUCCUAUAUGUCCACCAAUCCCGAAGACACUUGACAAAUACACAUUAUCGAUCAACCAAAUAAUGAAUUUGAUGAAUUUUUUUGAAAUCAAGCUAGUAAAAAAGGGGAGUAAAACUAGCUCUAAUCAGGGAAAAGGUCUACAAAAGAUGUAGGAUGAACCCAAAAUCUAUGCAAUUAGUGUGUUAGGUAAUAGGCAAUAGAGUCACAAAUAGGGGAUAAUAAUAACAAUCCAACAAAGAACAUAGAUGAACCAACGUGACAUACAAAGAAGAGUACAAAUGAUGCCCAAACCUAACUAAAGGUGGAACAAUCCAAAAUCUCCUAAUUAACUUGUGUGCAAGGACAGGGAACAAUUAAUUUCAGUAAUUGCGUAGUUUCAAAUGUUGGCUACUAUAAGGAAGAGACAAAUCCAUACCAUCCAAAUAGACCAAGUAGAAUUAAUUUUCUCCACAUGCUUGUCUAAUUUGGAACAACCCGUAGUGUUGUAAAUUGCACACCCUUGCUAGGGUGGUACAAUUUCACAAUUAGGUUAGCACCCACCUUAGUGUGUCUUGCAUCUUGCAUUUCUAAUUCGCCUUUAAGAAUUUAAUUAAAUCUAAGGUCAUGUUUCAUCACUUUACAUAUUAUAAAGUUGGGCCCUUUACCCUAAGUGUGCCCCUUUUCAUCUUAUUCUUUCAAUGAAUCAUUUAAUCAUAAACCCUAAUUGUGUCUUAUUUUGACCAUUUAGGCCCGAUUUCGCAUAUCAAAACAUCUCGAAAUCAGCUAUAACUUUGAGAUGUGUUCUAAUAUCAUCAUAUCUAGUGGCCCUGAAAAUUUGGUGAAAAGUUGGUCAGAUUGUGGCGGGAAUGCACAUGGUCCUCAACUUUUUCCCCGAAAUUUCGGGAGCAAAAUCCUAUGAUAUAAUAAUGGUUAACCUCAAAAUAUCAGCAGGAAAUUGAAAUCCUAGGCCGACCUAAACAUGAAAUUAAGAUCAAGGUUUUUAUACUUAAGAGCUCUCUUUCUUCAUUUGAAGGGGUCUUCUUCUAAGAAUCUAAGAGUAGGUUUUUGGAGUAUUAGAGCCUUCUUUGUAGCGAAAGAGUAGAUAUUUUAAGUCUUCAACAACAUUCAACAUUCAUCCAUCAAACAUUCAUCAAACACCAUCUUAUCAAUUGGGGGCUUUUGAAGAUGUAGAGGAACAAUAGGAGAUCACCGACUAACGAUUAACUUGUACCUCUCCCUUAGGGUUGGGUAUGAUUUCAUGUUGUUUCCAUGUCUUUGCAUAAGAUUCAUUUUGAUUCAUAUUCAUGCUUUAGAUCACUUUGCAUUGUGGAUUUAGAGCAUUUAUUUUGUCAAUUAUAAGCAAUUAGGGUUUACUCUUUAGGGUUGCUCUAGAUUGUUUACUUUCAUCUUAGAAUCUUGCACACACACAAGGUUCUUGCACACACAUUUCAGUAAAUUAUCGACUAUUUGUGGAGGUGGAAAUCACCAACAGAGGGGUUUGACUAAGGCAAAACCCUAUAUAGUCACCCUAAACCCUCUUUUUCAACUUUAGGUACAGGUUCGGAUCCGAGCGUCACUGGAAGUUUCGGGACCGGAAGAGCACACAUGGACAAUUUUGGGUUGUAGAUCUCAAUAAAAUACCCAAAGAUAGGGGUGUGGCACCCUGGUUCUGCCAUGAUAAUGGUGUGGCAUUAUGGUCCUACCCUCUGUCAGCAGGACUUCGCAGAACAACACUUUGCAGGCUCCAGAAUCCUUCCUGUCAGGUGCAACUCCAAAAUUGCAGAAUCAGGACAGUGGCGUGGCCCCCUGGUCCCAAACAUUUCUGCUUAGAUUUCAGACACAGGAUGCAUCAGCGAGUGUUAAUACACGACAUUCCUCCCGCAGUUGUUGCACUUUUGACGCCUGAGGCGUCGUCAGGGGAUCAAAUGUCCCAGAAUGAUAAUGUCAUGCUCUCGGCCAUCAAUUUGUACCUAGAAAGCUAUGCAGUAUCAUAUUUUGCACCUCUUUUUAUGUAUUCUUUUGAUUGAAUGUGCAAGUCAUUUAAAUUUAGAUUUGUUAAAUUAUAUUUAAUAUUAUCUACUGAUAUCUCUUGUGCUAAUUUUGUUUCUUUUAGUACCCCACACAUGUCUAGGACACCUCCUCGGCAAAAGAAAUCCUUGACGCCGCCUAAACGUUAAAAGGAUUGAUGAAUGCAUCUGAUAUGCCAGAGGAUCGAGAGAGGGAAGAGGAAAUAGCCACAGCUGCUUCAUCAAUGGCAAGCCCUCCUAAGUCUAUAGGAGAAGCAUCUCAGGCUUUGGAAAUAGCCAUAGUUGUUUCAUCAAUGACGAGCCCUCCUAAGUCUACUGGAGAGGAUCUUAGGCUCUGGCCCCUUCGCGGUUUGGCCAUAACGUGAAUAUUCUCGAGUUCCAUUUUAAGAGGAAUUCUAAGUCUAACAAGGCAAUGAGAUAAAAGAUGGUAGAUCCUAGAUCAGCAGAUGAGCCAUCUACAGAGUCAUGCAUUGCAUCAAAGAGGCUCUUUUUUGAUGAUCCCCCACAACUAUAGGAUCAUAUAUUGUUAGUUGUGGUCAUCGAAGAACCAAUACAUCUAGAUAUAUUCUUCAUUUUUAUUUUAUAUCGAUCUG